rnacentral:rRNA from 1 species
CAUUGGUUUCUCCUUUCUGACGAACCAUGAUGUCAUUAAUUUGGUGUUAUGGGGAGUUAGGACUGUUACUUUGAAAAAAUUAGAGUGUUUAAAGCAGGCAUUAGCUUGAAUACAUUAGCAUGGAAUAAUGAAAUAGGACGUUCGAUCCUAUUUUGUUGGUUUCUAGGAUCAACGUAAUGAUUAAUAGGGAUAGUUGGGGGCAUUAGUAUUCGAUUGUCAGAGGUGUAAUUCUUGGAUUUAUUGAAGACUAACUACUGCGAAAGCAUUUGCCAAGGAUGUUUUCAUUAAUCAAGAACGAAAGUUAGGGGAUCGAAGACGAUCAGAUACCGUCGUAGUCUUAACCAUAAACUAUGCCGACUAGGGAUCGGAUGAUGUUAAUUUUUUAAUGACUCAUUCGGCGCCUUACG